rnacentral:lncRNA from 1 species
UAGGAUAGUCAUGGGGACGAUGAUUCAUCCAGAUAAACCGGUGCAUAGUUCGCUUCCUUCAGGAUAGAUGAAUCUCUAGUUUAUAGUGUAGAGACAGUAAACGAAAAGUGUGGAUAAUUAUUAGAGAACAACUUAUACUGAGCAUGACCAUACAAGAGAUCAUAUAGAUUUUUAUUCGAUCGUCAAUGAUUAUCUCGAUGCUGUAAUUGUGUGAUUGAUCCUUUGACCUGUGAUGUCAUAGUUGCUCAUAGUAAGACUGCUGUAAUUUGAUUAUACAUAAACAUUAACUCGAUUAUGAGUUUUUAUAGUGAAUGUUAGCUUCAGUUGGUUAAGUUGUGUGAGCAAUGUGUGCAUUUAUAUGGGAUCUAUCGACCUUGAUAAAGGUAGUCCUAUGAGAUUUAAGAAACUGAGUCAACAAAUCUAUGACCAUAACAGUGUGAUUGAUGAAAAAAAAAAUUUAUUUGAAAUCACUAUUAGACUUGAGCUGAUCGAAUCUAUCAUAUAACUGAUGAUGAAGUUUGAUAAUUUAUUCAUGACAUGCCAUCUAGUCGGAACUCAUGAUAGAGAGACUUUAUCAUACUUUAACUACACCUAAAAAUUCUAUUUCGGUUCUGCUAGGUUGCCACUACAUAUUGCUAAAUGUCACUGAUGGAUUGUGAGAGCUCAAUAGGAUCGUUUUGAAUCAAUGAUCCUUGUCGAGUUAGAGUGAAAUUAUUAUGACCUACUGAAAAGAGUUUUAGUGAUAUCUAUAAUAAAAAUCAUGGUAUGUCUCAUUACCGAAUAGAAUUGAACCUAUGAGAUCACACAUAAAGGGAGAAGAUGUGGAUUGGUUAAUAAUUGGACUUAUGAAGUACCAAUUUAUAUGGAUUUAAAAAAAUUCUAUUGGAUUUAUGUUAACCUUGCUAGCAUCUAGGUGAACCCAAUUUCUCUUGUAGUUGGUUUGUUUAUAUGAUAAGCAUUAACUAAUUCCUACACUUAAUUUGAACCUAAUUGAAUAUGAUUCAAUGGCCUCCAAUGCUUGAAUACUUAGUUUAUGGCUUGGAUUAAAUCAAGAAAGAAUUUUUUAAUUUUAUUCAUUAAGAACCCUUGAAGUAAAUUUAUGAAAUCAUGUAAACUGAUUUGAGACUUUUUAUUGGAUCCCAUAUAAUGGGACGCCUAGCAUUAGGUGUGAGCAUGGGUGAGUUUUGAAUGGCGCCCCAUUUAUUUGGUCUAAAUAUAUUUAAGCUAGGACUUCUAAUAUGAUUAGGAGGAGGAAUUCUAAUUUGAUUAGGACACCCUUAUGUUGUCUAUAUAAAGAAUCCUAGCCUUACUUCUCUCAAAAUCUCACUUCCUCCCUUACCACCACCCUUACUGUGUCCAUCGCCUCCCCUCCUCUCUCUCUAGCCCACGCCCUCUCUCUCUAGACAUCCCCUUGUUGGAGCUAGAAGAGAGGUGGGCGGCGUCUCUCUUUGGUGUCAAUUAGUUGGCGCCAAGUUGUUGUUAGGUGGUUUCUUCUUCCUCUCAAGUUGUUGGGAGUUAGUUACAACCACUUCUUAAUUGUUCUUCUUGAUUAGUUGAGGGGUCAAAAAAGAUUCUUGACUUCUUCAAGAAUCAAGAAAGAAAGAUUAAAAAGGGUUCAAGGGUUGAUCCCUAUCCAAACUUGGUUCAAGCCUAUUCAGGCUUUGAGUUCAAAUGAGUUGUAUCAAAAGGAGCUUAUCUAGAUCAGUCCUGUGGAUAUGCAUAGAGGCAGGACGCUGGUGCUGCUGAUUCAGAACCUACUCAACACUAGAUUCAGGGAUUGAAUUGGAUGCAACUCCAGUUACAGAUUUGAAGCAAAAGAAAAGCAAUUUAGGUAUGUGAAUUGAUUACAGGCUUUCAUUUAUUUAUCCUAAAAUCAGUUUAUAUUAAUUUCAGCAUAUGAAUUAGAUACAUAGAUGCUUUCAUAUGAUGAAUGCAUGCUUAGAUUAAAAAUAUUUUAAUCUAAUUUCUUCACUGCAUUUUGGAUUUAGAAAAGUUUUAAAAUCUACAUGCACUAGCACCUGUAGAAAAUCCAACAGUGGUAUCAAAGCCACAUGUUCAUAUAUAUAAAAGUUGCAUGAAAGUUUUGAAAAUUAUUUUCAAAAUUCUGAUUUUAGUUUAUACAUAAGAUGUAUAUGUUUAUGUUCAGAUCUAAAAAAUAUUUUAGAUCUGAAUUUUAUUCAUAUAUGCGAUAUAUGAAAGCAUGCAUAGGUUAGAAAUUAAAUUUCUGCGAUCUGAAUUUUUCGUUUAUGCGAUAUAUGAUGGUAUGUUUAGAUCUAAAAUUAAUUUUUGAAAAAUCUGAAAUUUUUCAUGUAUAUGAUAUAUGAUUGCAGGCAUGUUUUGAAGUAUUUCAAAAAUCAAAAACUUACUUUUUAUGCAAUGAAUUUAGAUCUGAAAUUUAUUUUCAAUGAUCUGAAAUUAGUGUGUGCAUGAAUUGUUGGACAUGGGUAGUUUUGCAUUAGGUCAAUGAAUUGCAUCUUAAGUUAAAAUUGGAUCAUAUUGGGUUGAAAUCGAUGUAGCUAUUGAUCAAACUGAGUCAAGUGUUGAUUUGGGUUAGAUCAAUUGAGCUUAUGAUCCUACAAGUGUUGUAAAUUGAAUUGAUUAAAUCCCAUAUGUAGAAUCAAGUCAAUCUAAAGACCUAAUCCGGCUUUAUGGAUUGAAUCCGAUUCAUCUAAGCUGACUAAUUGAAACCAAUAAGCCAGUGUCUAAGACAAGUCUCGAUCGGUGGUUUUUAAUUGGGAGGCUACUCAUCUAGAUAAUUUUGUCUAUGGUGAGUUAAUGGCAUACCCUCCCAUCGGUCUCACUUACCUAACCGAUUAGAUGAUUGGAUUCAUUAGUUGCUAAAACAUUUUUGUUUAGCCCAUGCCAAUUAGAUCGGUCAUAUGAUGCUUGAUUAGAUGAGAUCUAACCUAAACCCCUCUAAUUAAUAUUAAGCCUCAUGGUCUUCCACCAUUAUAGAAGUGUGGGCGUGGUACUGGCAUUGACUGUUUUCGGCUGGUUGCAGUAGUUCAGUUGCAUCGGGAACACGCAACUACUCUACUAGCAAAGAGUUGCUCCAAGAUGAAGAUGGGGUUGGGCCCAAUAUGUGUUAUCUGAGAGACUCAAUGACGGCUUCACACCUGCUUGUAAACGGUGGAUCAAGCUUAACUAAGAAAUAGAACAAUAUGUGUUAUCUAAGCUCUCAUGACUUAGAGACCAAGUCGCUGCAAUAUGCUUAAAGAAGCAUUUGGAUAAAGAGUUGCCUACGCAUCGGUGUGCUUGUCACCAAUAACUGUUAAGCGAGGUGCAAGGCAUCAGUGGGACCGCAGCACCCACUAAAAACUUUGCAUUGGUCACAUCGAGUUUUUGCUUUCCACUCAGGGAGUGUCAGAAUNNNNNNNNNNNNNNNNNNNNNNNNNNNNNNNNNNNNNNNNNNNNNNNNNNNNNNNNNNNNNNNNNNNNNNNNNNNNNNNNNNNNNNNNNNNNNNNNNNNNNNNNNNNNNNNNNNNNNNAUAAAUUUUAAGUAUAAAUAUCUAACUAGAAUCUCUACUCUCAUAGAUAAAUAAUAUCGGCCUCUAAUCCACUAACCCGCAUCCUUAAAACCAACUGAUUGACCGGUACAAAUUAUAAGGCCUAGCUCAGAAACCUCAGAAUAGUCCUGACAUCCGAAAAGAUUGGAUAUGUACUCGACCAAAAUGCCCCAGCCUUACCAGCCCGUCCUACGACAGAGCAAAAAGCUGCUUUGGACAAGUAGACUGAUGAUGACCUUAAGGUGAAGUGCUAUGUUCUGGCUUCCAUGUCAAAUGAGUUGCAGAGCCAGCAUGAGCACAUACCCACUGUCCGUACCAUGAUCACUCACCUGCAAGAGUUGUACGGUGAGCAGAGCUGAACUGUGCGCUUCGAAUUGUCCAAGCGGUUGUUCAAUAUGAAGAUGCGCGACGGACAGUCAGUCUACGAUUAUUGUAUGACAAUGAUCAAGGACCUAGAGAAACUUGAGAAGCUCGAGCUUAAUAUGUAGAGGGAAUUAAAGAUCAAUUUGAUGCUCCAAUCCCUGAUCAGUUCAUUUGGGUAGUUUAUCAUAAACUACCAUAUGAACAAAUUGGACUGCAACUUACCUAAAUUGGUCAAUAUGCUGGUCACUGCUGAGGGUACCUUGAAAAGUUCAAAGGGCUCUAUUUUUGCAAUUGAGCGGGUACCUUCCAAGAGAAAGUCUCAAAGAAAAAAAAAGAAUAAGCCUGCAAAGAAGCAGAAGAAGAAGAGCAAGCCUAAAAAGGACACUCCAAAGAAAGCUGUGGAGAAAGAAAAGUAUUUCUACUGCAACUCCAAUGGCCACUGGAGGAGAAACUGUCCGUCUUAUCUGGAGAGCCUGAAGAUAAAAAAAGGUGAUCAACCUUCUGAAGGUAUGCUCAUAAUAGAAUCUAACCUAACGAUUUUUUCUACUUCUAGUUGGGUAUUGGACUCUGAUUCGAGUGUACAUAUAUAUACUUUAAUGCAGGGUCUACUAGGAAGUAAGAGAUUGAGAAAAGAUGACAUAAUCCUUCGGGUCGACAAUGGAGCAAAAAUUACUGCAGAAACUGUUGGAACCUAUCCUUUUCGAUUACCGUCAGACUUUAGAUUAGAUUUAAAAGACUAUUAUUUUAUUCUUGUAGCUAGCCGAAAUUUGAUUUCGGUAUCUGUACUAGCACAAGAUGGAUUUAUUUUUUAAUUUAAUAAAAAAUUUUGUUCCAUUUAUUUAUGAAAUAAAUUUGUUGCAUCUGAUCUUUUGAUUGACAAUCUUUAUCACUUGCAUGUUGAUGCUAAUGUGAGCUUAAAUGAGCAAGUAGUGAGUGCCGUAGGCCAAAAGAGAUCUAGAAAUGAGUUUAACCAUAAGUACUUAUGGCACCAUAGACUUGGUCAUAUUGGAGAGGACAGGAUAAACAGAUUGAAAAAGGAUGGGAUCCUUGACUUAGUUAAAUCUGAGUUGAUUCUGACCUGUGAAUCCUGUUUUCGAGAAAAAAUAGCUAGGUUACCUUUUGUGGGACAAAAAAAAGAGCCACUGAGUUACUACUCUUGGUACAUACUGAUAUGUGUGGCCCAUUUGAUGUGCAGAUCAGGGGUGGUUAUAGCUACUUCAUUACCUUUACUGAUGAUCUAUCACGGUAUGGGUACGUGUUUCUUAUGAAACACAAGUCUGAAGUCUUUGAAAGGUUCAGAAAAUUCAGAAAAGAGGUAGAAAAGCAAAUACGUAAAUCCAUCAAAGUCCUAUGAUCCAAUCGAGGAGGAGAAUACCUUAGUGCUGAAUUUCUGGAAUAUCUUAAGGAGAAUGGCAUAGUCUUUCAAUGGACUCCUCCCAGCAUGCCUCAAUUCAACGGGAUAUCCGAAAGGAGAAAUAGGAUUCUAUUGGAUAUGGUCCGAUCCAUGAUGAGCUUUACUCAUUUAUCCAUAUAUCUUUGAGGACCUGUUUUACUUACCGCGAUACAUAUUUUAAAUAGAAUUCCUUCUAAGUCUGUUUCUACCAUACCAUAUGAGAUAUGACAAGGUAAAAAGCCGAGUCUGAGUUACCUUAAGACUUAGGGAUGUCCAGCCUAUGUUAAAAAACAGAAAGCUCAUAAGUUAGAGAAUAAAUCAGUUAUAGCUCGAUUUAUAGGAUAUCCUAAGGAAUCUAUUGGGUACUUUACUUUCCACAUUGCCACAAUAUGAUUGUAAGUUGCAAUGUCACAUUUCUAGAAAAAUAAUUUAUCCAGGACAGUGAUAGUGGGAGGUUAAUUGAGCUUGACGAGAAUGUCUCUGAAGAGCGACGAGCUAUAGAUCCCCAAGAACCUGUCAAUGAUAAGCCAAUAGUUAAUGUUCCACUUUCACCUCGUGGAUCAAGUAGAAUCUCUCAUCCUCCUGAAAGAUACAUGGAUAUAUUGAAAGAAGAUGUAGAAAAAACAUUCCUUGUGGGAGAUGGGGAUCAUGAUGAUGAUCCUAGUACUUUUGACGAGAUGAUGUCUGACAUCGAUUCCGAAAAAUAGUUAGAUGUAAUGAAGUCAGAAAUUGACUCAAUGCACUCAAACCAGGUAUGGUCCUUAGUGGAUCCACCGGAAGAAAUUAUUCCUAUUGGGUGUAAAUGAAUCUAUAAAAAAAAAUAAGUGCUGAUGGUAAGAUAGAGACAUAUAAGACAAGGCUGGUGGCGAAGGGUUAUAGUCAGCACGAAGGCAUUGACUAUCAUGACACUUUUUCAUCUGUAGCCAUGCUGAAAUUUAUCCGUAUAUUGCUUGCUGUUGCAGCUUACUAUGAUUAUAAAAUCUGACAGAUGAAUGUGAAAACUAUUUUCUUGAAUAGAUAUCUUGAGAAAAAUACCUAUAAGGAGCAACCUCUGGGUUUCACGUCGGGUGAUAGUGAUCACCGAGUCUGCAAGCUGCAGAGGUCCAUCUAUGGACUAAAGUAGGCUUCUCGAAGCUGGAAUCUUCGUUUCAAUGAUGCGAUCAAAUCGUUUGAUUUCAUCAAAAAUAAAGAAAAAUAAAAGGGUCAGUGAGAGCGCAUUUAUCUUCCUCGUACUGUACAUCGAUGACAUCCUCUUUAUUAAAAAUGAUAUUCUCAUGCUGACUUCGGUCAAGACUUGAUUGUUUAAGAAAUUCUUCAUGAAAGACCUUGAGGAAGCAUCCUAUAUCCUUGGGAUAAAGGUCUAUAAAGAUAAAUCUAGAAAGAUGCUUGGCCUGUCACAAAAGCUGCACUAGAAAAAAUACUGAAGCGGUUCAACAUGAAAAACUCCAAAAGAGAUUUGCUAUCCCUUAGAUAUGGUAUUCGACUCUCCAAGAUGAUGUGUCCUAAUACUUCUGAAGAGAUCGAGCGCAUGAAUAGGAUAUCUUAUGCUUCGGUGAUUGAGAGCCUCAUGUACGUCAUGCUAUAUACUCAACCUGAUAUUGCCCUUGCUGUGAGUGUCACAAACAUGUAUCAGUCGAAUCCAGAUGAGGAGCACUAGAUAGCUGUGAAGAACAUCGUUAAGUACUAACGAAGGACUAAAAAUUUAUUCUUGAUCUUUAGAGGAGCACCUGAAUUACGGAUUGAGGGUUAUACAAAUUCGGACUUCAUAUCAAAUUCUGAUGAUAGAAAAACUACAUCGGGAUAUGUGUUCGUAUGCAAUGAUGGUGCAAUCAACUGAAAGUGCUCCAAGCAAAGCAUCAUCGCAGAUUCGAUCGCAGAGGCCGAGUAUAUCGCCGCUUCAAAUACUGCAAAAGAAGACUUUUGAUUCAAAAAGUUUGCCGUGGAACUUGGUGUAAUGACAUCGGAUGUCAUACCACUAUACUGCGAUAACAAUGGAGCCAUAGCACUUGCUAAAGAAGCUCGAUCUCAUCGAAAAUUAAAGCAUAUUGAACGAUGAUUUCAUAUCAUACGCGACUACCUUGAGAAGCCAUAUGUCGAGGUGCAAAGAGUAGACUCCGUGGAUAACAUGGCAGACCUACUGACAAAGCAAUUGAGCCAGCCCAAAAUGGAAGCCCACCUUGAGAAGAUGGGGCUUAGAUUAAUGACCAAUUGGCUUUAGUUUAAGUGAGAGAUUGUUAGAUAUAUGUCCUAAAAGUCAAUUGUUGGCUGACAUAUUUUUGUUCUAUGAUAUAUAUUUGUACUUAAACUAUUAAUUUAAUCAAUAAAAGAUAAGUUUUUAUUUUUCAUUCAAGUAUUAUAUGUUCUUGAAUCGUCUUUGAAAUUGAUGUUACGAUAUAUAUUCUCAAAUAUUGAGGAUUAGAGAUAUAUAUGAUCGAUUUCUAAAUUACUCCCAUAGAAUAGUCAUGAAAACGAUGAUUCAUCUAGAUAAAUCGGUGCACGGUUCACUUUCUUCGAGAUAGAUGAGUCUCUAGUCUACAGUGUAAAGACACUGAGCAAAAAAUGCGAAUAAUUGUUAAAGAACAACUUGUACUGAGCAUGACCAUACGAGAGAUCAUAUGGAUUUCUAUUCGAUCGUUAGUGAUUAUCUCGAUACUAUAGUUGUAUGACUGAUCCUUUGACUUGUGGUAUCACAGUUGCUCACAGUAAGACUACUGUAGUUUGACUACACAUAAAUAUUAAUUCGAUCAUGAAUUUUUGUAAUGGAUGUUGACUUCAGUUGGUUGAGCUGUGCGAGCAAUGUGUGCAUUUAUAUGAGAUCUAUCGAUCUUAAUAGAGAGUAGUCCUAUAAGAUUUGAGAAGGUAAAUCCAUAAGUCUAUGGCAAUAGCAGUGUGAUUGAUGGAAAAGAGUUUUCAUUUGGAAUCACUAUUGGACUUGAACUGAUCGGAUCUAUCGUAUGAUUGAUGAUGAGGUUUGACGAUUUAUUUAUGACCUACCAUCUAGUCGGAACUCACGAUAGAGGGACUGUAUCAUACUUUAACUACAUCUAGAGGUUCUAUUUCGGUUCUACUGGAUUGCCACUACAUAUUGCUAGAUGUCACUGGUAGAUUGUGAAAGCUCAAUAGGAUCGUUUUGGAUCAACAAUCCUUGUUGAGUUAGAGUGAAAUUGUUCUGACCCACUGAAAAGAGUUUCAGUGA